rnacentral:rRNA from 1 species
UGGGGAAUAUUGCACAAUGGAGGGAACUCUGAUGCAGCGACGCCGCGUGAACGAAGAAGGCUUUCGAGUCGUAAAGUUCGUUUAUAUGGGAAGAUAAUGACGGUACCAUAAGAAAAAGCCCCGGCUAACUACGUGCCAGCAGCCGCGGUAAUACGUAGGGGGCUAGCGUUGUCCGGAAUCACUGGGCGUAAAGGGUUCGCAGGCGGAAAUGCAAGUCAGGUGUAAAAGGCAGUAGCUUAACUACUGUAAGCAUUUGAAACUGCAUAUCUUGAGAAGAGUAGAGGUAAGUGGAAUUUUUAGUGUAGCGGUGAAAUGCGUAGAUAUUAAAAAGAAUACCGGUGGCGAAGGCGACUCACUGGGCUCAUUCUGACGCUGAGGAACGAAAGCGUGGGUAGCAAACAGG